GGGGGGGGGGGCAAGCGUUGUUCGGAAUUACUGGGCGUAAAGGGCUCGUAGGCGGCCAACUAAGUCGGACGUGAAAUCCCUCGGGCUCAACCGAGGAACUGCGUCCGAUACUGGAUGGCUUGAGUCCGGGAGAGGGAUGCGGAAUUCCAGGUGUAGCGGUGAAAUGCGUAGAUAUCUGGAGGAACACCGGUGGCGAAGGCGGCAUCCUGGACCGGCACUGACGCUGAGGAGCGAAAGCCAGGGGAGCAAACGGGAUUAGAUACCCCGGUAGUCCUGGCCCUAAACGAUGAAUGCUUGGUGUGGCGGGUAUCGAUCCCUGCCGUGCCGAAGCUAACGCGAUAAGCAUUCCGCCUGGGGAGUACGGUCGCAAGGCUG
rnacentral:rRNA from 1 species